CACGUAGGGCGCAAGCGUUGCCCGGAAUUAUUGGGCGUAAAGAGCUCGUAGGCGGUCCGUCACGUCCGCUGUGAAAACCCAGGGCUCAACCCUGGGCUUGCAGUGGAUACGGGCAGACUAGAGGUAGGUAGGGGAGAAUGGAAUUCCCGGUGUAGCGGUGAAAUGCGCAGAUAUCGGGAGGAACACCGGUGGCGAAGGCGGUCU
rnacentral:rRNA from 1 species